rnacentral:rRNA from 1 species
GAUGAACGCUAGCGGAAGGCCUAAUACAUGCAAGUCGAGGGGUAACAGGGGAGCUUGCUCCCGCUGACGACCGACGAAACGGGUGAGUAACGCGUACGUAACCUACCUUCAAGAGAGGGGAUAGCCCUGGGAAACUGGGAUUAAUACUUCAUGGCAUCAUAAGAUCACCUGAUCUAAUGAUUAAAGCUGAGGCGCUUGAAGAUGGGCGUGCGUUAUAUUAGAUAGUUGGUGAGGUAACGGCUCACCAAGUCAGCGAUAGAUAGGGGGCGUGAGAGCGUGGUCCCCCACACGGGUACUGAGACACGGACCCGACUCCUACGGGAGGCAGCAGUAAGGAAUAUUGGACAAUGGGCGAAAGCCUGAUCCAGCCAUUCCGCGUGUAGGAUGACGGCCCUCUGGGUUGUAAACUACUUUUAUUUGGGAAGAAACCCUGGGAUUUAUCCCGGGCUGACGGUACCAAAAGAAUAAGCACCGGCUAAUUCCGUGCCAGCAGCCGCGGUAAUACGGAAGGUGCAAGCGUUAUCCGGAAUCACUGGGUUUAAAGGGUGCGUAGGCGGUUGCGUAAGUCAGAAGUGAAAGCUCACAGCUUAACUGUGGAAUUGCUUUUGAUACUGCGCGACUAGAAUUAGGUUGAGGUUGGCGGAAUGUGACAUGUAGCGGUGAAAUGCAUAGAUAUGUCAUAGAACACCAAUUGCGAAGGCAGCUGACUGGACCUAUAUUGACGCUGAGGCACGAAAGCGUGGGGAGCGAACAGG